rnacentral:rRNA from 1 species
AAUGAACGUUGGCGGCGUGGAUUAGGCAUGCAAGUCGUGCGGAAAGGCUCCUUCGGGAGUACUCGAGCGGCGUAAGGGAGAGUAACGCGUGGAUAUCUACCCCCUGGACUGGGAUAGCGGCGGGAAACUGCCGGCAAUACCAGAUAAUGUCUGCGGACCAAAGGUGUGAUUCCGCCGGGGGAUGAGUUCGCGUCCUAUUAGCUAGUUGGUAGGGUAAUGGCCUACCAAGGCAAAGAUGGGUACCGGGUGUGAGAGCAUGGCCCGGCUCACUGGGACUGAGACACUGCCCAGACACCUACGGGUGGCUGCAGUCGAGAAUCUUCGGCAAUGGGCGCAAGCCUGACCGAGCGACGCCGCGUGCGGGAUGAAGGCCUUCGGGUUGUAAACCGCUGUCAGAGGGGAGGAAAUGCGUGAGAGUUCUCUCUCACGUUUGACCUAUCCUCAGAGGAAGUACGGGCUAAGUUCGUGCCAGCAGCCGCAGUAACAC